UCAAGUUUGAACUGUUAGGUCAUAUAGGACCUAGACAUUGAUCAAAGGGCCCUCUUUUUCCUCUAUGCUUCUGUCCAGUCCCAAAACUGACAGGUAUGAUUUGUCUGUCUCAUUUAAUUCACCAGAAACAUUCAUUCAUCAUCUUUCCAGUUUCCAACUACUCUAUGUUUUCCAUCCUGGCCUCUGCUGCAACAUAGAGUUUUCUAAUGGCUUCCACAACUACAAAACCAGUUAGACUAGGAGAGCUUCUCCAAGAGCAGCAAGAACCCUUUGUCCUGGACGUUUACCUAUUCGAAAGAGGGUAUCUGGGAAAGAGCUCGAGCUCGAGCUCAAGCAAAAGCAUUAAUUCAAGUAAGAGUUUACAGAGAUCAUGUAGUUGGGGACAAAAUAAGAGCAAAAAGGGUAUUUCUAGCCUCUCCAAGAUACUGAGAUCAGUCUAUAACAAGCUUGUUUCCAAAAAUAGUGGCUUUAGAGCUAAGAGUUCCAAAGGAGAAGGAGGAAAGUUAGAUGCGGACACUAAGAUUACUCCUCCAAGAGAUUGCAUUGAAGAUUCAGAUGGAUUUUCUUCUUCUAGUAGCAGAACACAGUACGAGUCAUGCUGUGAUAGUGACAAAGAUGAUGAAGCUGUUGCCACAGUUUCGUUGCAGAACGAAGAUCAAGCCUCGCUUGCGGUAGAAGGCACUUCUCAAAUAUCAAAUCUCAGCAAUAUGCAAGAAGAGAGAAAGCCAGCAGGUUGGUACAGAUAGCAGUGCUCAACGGGGACUCAUCGAAGAAGAAGAAGCAGCAGUAUAAGCAACACACCUCAAUAUCUGUACUAGAAAAUAGACCUUCUCAUGCAGCACCCGACAAGGUUUUGGAGGACUCAACGCUAUCAGCUUCUCUUUGGGAACUACUUUUCUAUCCUCCAUUGGAAAAGCCAAAAGGUAUUUCUGGAGUUCCAAAAACGGUAGAACCGGUGAUCAGAUCAAAUCCUUCUCCACAAAAAUCAAAAAGGAUGUUGCAGCAGACAAGGCAGCUUCUGUUCGAUUGUGUAAGAGAGAUGACAGAAUCCCAUGCAAAGAAAAUGAAAGCGCAAAAAAGCACAAACUUUUUGGGAGCAGUAGAAGUGGGAAAGCUGAUCUCUGAGAAAUUGUUGGUCUGGGAUAGACAGGAUGGAGAUGAAAGUAACGUAGAUUUUUUGCUGGAUUCAGACUUCCUGAGUUCAGCUGAAGAAUGGAAUUCUAAUGAACAAGAAGAAAGAGAGAUUUGCUACGAAAUUGGGGAUACAAUUUUAGAAGAGAUCAUCGAAGAUAUUGUUGCUCUCCCAUGAAAGUUUGGGAAAUAUGUUCAUCCUCUGAUUUGUAAUUUGUAUAGUUUACGGUGCCUCUACUGGCAUCAAAUUUGCUCACCAAUGUUUUUCACCUUAA